GCUGGCGGCGCGGAGUCCGGGCGGCCGCGAGGCCGCGCGGGCGGCGGGCGUGUGUCGGCUCUCGCCGGAAGUUGCUAGGAGAUGGAACCGGAAGUCCCGCCCCUCUCCAAAGAGAGGAAAACGGAAAGCCGAAGAAGUCAAUCUAAAGAAGGGGAGACGCGUCCGGCUGGAAGGCUGGCGGUGUCUGAGGCGGAGGGCCGAGUGGGGUUUGCGGAGAGUCCCCAAGCGGAUUCCUCCGGACAGUCCGCCCCUUCCGUGCCCCAUGCCUCCUCACCCUACCCCGUCCCCCGCCCGCCCGCCGUAGAGGACCCCGAGGGCGGCGCGGGAGCGCAGAGGGCGGCGCGGGGCGAGCGGCCGCUGCCCUGGGCCUUCCGGGGCCCGAACGGUGCCCGGCGCUUCUAGGCGCCCGUCUACGGGGACCCGCUUUCUCUGCUGGGCCAGGCGCGUGCGCAACCCCAGAUGUUGAGGACAGUCUGUCGGUGGACUCCAAGAAAGGAUCCUCGGAGUCACGGGCCGCAGGGAGCCACGAGCCGAGUUCCGAUACUAAAAGGGAGGCAGAGCAGCCGAGUGUGGUGGUCGGCCAGUUUGGCAAUAAAAGCCGAAAACGCCCUGGGUGUUUAAAAAGCCCCCGCCGGACCGUUUUUAUAACGGUAGCGACGCAGCGCAAGAAUUGUUAGGAAGAAAGUAAGGCACGACCGAGGCGUGGUCGUCCCCGCCGCCGCCUGCCCCUCUUGGCGGGAGCAUCCGCGGACCUGAAGCUUACAGCCCUUCUCCGGAAACUCGAGAUCCAGGAAGGAAGACCGCGGCUUGCAAAGUGCUCUGACGGACACCUAUAUAGAGAUGAGCGGCGACAUCCCACUUGCGAUCAGCUUGAGACACCGCUUGCUCAGCAGUUUUGACUUUAUCUUGUAGGUAUAGGGAAAGCUCUUAAACAAUUGGAUUUGUAUAAUUUUAGGUAAACGGAGUUUUUAAAGGAUGGUCCUUUAAUAAUGAUGGUAGGCUUUCUAAACCAAACCCACCUCUCAAGGCCAGUUCCAGCUCAACGCUAUUUAAGUCAAUAUACAGGUGAUAAUCACGUUUUAUAUACUGGUUUACAGAGUACUUUUCGUAGACAUUAUCUGGUCGAAUUUUUACUGUAAUCCACAUGAAUUCUCAUGUCCGUCACCCACAACAGGAAGUUGUAACUUAGAAGAGUCAAAUAACUGUUCCAAGAUCACACAGCUAGUAAAGGUGGAACUCACUUUCCAAACUCCAGAGUCAACCUUUUCCAGUCCACCGGGCAUCUUUUAAUGAACAGCUAGUUCAAGAGUGUUAGUCUUGGAUGAGAAGGUGAUGAAUUUCUCAACACUUAAGAGUAGCUAGCACCGUAUUCCAUGUUGAAGAGGCAUUCUGUUGAUUUGUAGGAGAUUGAUCUUGCUACCUUUCUUACCCUGGGAACUGAGUUAACAUUUCAUCUUCCUUCUUUGAGCAGCGAAAUAAAAUCUGAGUUUAUUUUUCAGUUCCCCAUCGUGCAGUAUUUUACUGAGACAGGACCUUUGCAUCAUACAGUGACCUUAAGGAAGUCAACCUGACUUACUCGUGUAUAAAAUUAGUCAUUUAGGGUAAAGUUCCUGCCUUUCGUCAUUCUGUUAAUAUAAAUAGAAGCGGUUCUAAAUUUUCUGAGCCACAGUAAUAGUGUCUAAUACUGUUACUCUCAUUAAAACAUUUAAAAGACUGUGUCCCAUUAGAUAAUACUAACAGCGGUGAUAGCUGUGGUUUAUUAAGCACCUACUACGUGUCAUGCAAUGCUCAAGAGAAUCCAAGAAUAUAGGAAAAAUUUGUUUUUCUGUGUCUCUAGGAAAAUUUAUAUAUAAUAUGUAUAUCCUUUAUAUAUAUACAGAUUUUAUAUAAAAUAAAGCUCCUUUGGAGCUUCUUUAAGACA